rnacentral:rRNA from 1 species
AGCGGAGGAAAAGAAACCAACAGGGAUUGCCCUAGUAACGGCGAGUGAAGCGGCAACAGCUCAAAUUUGAAAUCUGGCGCAAGCCCGAGUUGUAAUUUGUAGAGGAUGCUUCUAGGUAGCGACCGGUCUAAGUUCCUUGGAACAGGACGUCAUAGAGGGUGAGAAUCCCGUAUGUGACCGGCCCGCACCUUCUACGUAGCUCCUUCGACGAGUCGAGUUGUUUGGGAAUGCAGCUCUAAAUGGGAGGUAAAUUUCUUCUAAAGCUAAAUACCGGCCAGAGACCGAUAGCGCACAAGUAGAGUGAUCGAAAGAUGAAAAGCACUUUGGAAAGAGAGUUAAAAAGCACGUGAAAUUGUUGAAAGGGAAGCGCUUACAACCAGACUUCUGGGCGGUGUUCCGCCGGUCUUCUGACCGGUCUACUCACCGUCCCGAGGCCAACAUCAUCUGGGACCGCCGGAUAAGACCUUAGGAAUGUAGCUCCCCUCGGGGAGUGUUAUAGCCUGUGGUGAUGCGGCGCGUCUCGGGUGAGGUCCGCGCUUCGGCAAGGAUGUUGGCGUAAUGGUUGUCAGCGGCCCGUCUUGAAACACGGACCAAGGAGUCUAACAUCUAUGCGAGUGUUCGGGUGUCAAACCCCUACGCGUAAUGAAAGUGAACGGAGGUGGGAAGGGUAACCUGCACCAUCGACCGAUCCUGAUGUCCUCGGAUGGAUCUGAGUAAGAGCAUAGCUGUUGGGACCCGAAAGAUGGUGAACUAUGCCUGAAUAGGGUGAAGCCAGAGGAAACUCUGGUGGAGGCUCGCAGCGGUUCUGACGUGCAAAUCGAUCGUCAAAUUUGGGUAUAGGGGCGAAAGACUAAUCGAACCAU